rnacentral:rRNA from 1 species
AUGGCUCAGGAUGAACGCUAGCUACAGGCUAACACAUGCAAGGUCGAGGGGCAGCAGGGCAAUAGCUUGCUAUUGCUGCUGGCGACCGGCGCACGGGUGAGUAACGCGUAUCCAACCUACCCCGCGGUCAGGGACAGCCCGGCGAAAGUCGGAUUAAUACCUGAUGCAGUCAGAAGAGGGCAUCUGAUUUUGACGAAAGAUUGAUCGCCUCGGGAUGGGGGAUGCGUAGGAUUAGGCAGGCGGCGGGGUAACGGCCCACCGCGCCGACGAUCCUUAGGGGUUCUGAGAGGAAGGUCCCCCACACUGGUACUGAGACACGGACCAGACUCCUACGGGAGGCAGCAGUGAGGAAUAUUGGUCAAUGGGCGCGAGCCUGAACCAGCCAAGUAGCGUGCAGGACGACGGCCCUAUGGGUUGUAAACUGCUUUUAUGCGGGGAUAAAGUGCGGCACGUGUGCCGUUUUGUAGGUACCGCAUGAAUAAGGACCGGCUAAUUCCGUGCCAGCCGCGGC